rnacentral:tRNA from 1 species
GCAGUUGUGGCCGAGUGGUUAAGGCGUCAGACUCGAAAUCUGAUGGGCUAUUGCCCGCGCAGGUUCGAAUCCUGCCGACUGCG